rnacentral:rRNA from 1 species
GCGGGGAAACUCACCAGGUCCAGACAAAAUAAGGAUUGACAGAUUGAGAGCUCUUUCUUGAUCUUUUGGAUGGUGGUGCAUGGCCGUUCUUAGUUGGUGGAGUGAUUUGUCUGCUUAAUUGCGAUAACGAACGAGACCUCGGCCCUUAAAUAGCCCGGUCCGCAUUUGCGGGCCGCUGGCUUCUUAGGGGGACUAUCGGCUCAAGCCGAUGGAAGUGCGCG